AGCCUGCCAGAUACCCUCUGGUCAUACAACAAAUGAGUGUUGCUCUUCUGUCCUAGAGAGGAGAAAGCAAUUUGCCACUUCCUCUCCUGCUUGAGUUGAUUGCCAUUUCCUUCUGAUUAAUAUUUAUGAAAACAGCUUUGUGCCUUUGCAAGGACCCUGUUUGUCAAACAGAAGUCUAUAAAUUUAUAUGAUAAUUAUCCUCCCCAUCCAUUCCAGCCCCCCCGCUUCACCGCCGGAAAGCAAAGAUAACUGAAACGAGGCGUCCAUGAGAUUUAGCGUGUGGGAGACUUUGGCCACGGAGGAACUACAUAUGCAAAACCCCUGCAGGAAAUAUGCUGGGAAAACCAGAGUUUCCUGGACUACUGAGAUGUUGGGGUUAGAAGAUCCUUGGAGGUUGUCUGGAGCCAUCACUCCCCAGCUACCAGGAGAUUCCAAGAUAUAGAUGUGGUCAAUGAGCCUAGACCUCCCUCCUCUCCACAAUGAUUGGUUUAUAAUGGACACACACACGUCUCACCAGUCUACUUAGAAUGGCUCUUGGGAUUCUAACACAAGAGAGGUGCUGCUAAGCUGCAGAAUGCCAGCUUGGAGGUGCCAGAGCUGACUAAGAAGAGAGACUGCCCAAGAAGCAAAGCAAACAGAAACCUCUGAAAGACGGAGGAAACCAAUCCUCGAUGAUGGUGGGGAUGGCAGUGAUGAGCUGGAGGAAGAGCAGGCUUUAAUGGUGCCGCUAACGUUGCCUUUCCUUAAAAUGACUCGCAAUGCUCACAGACAUUCAGACCCCGGCGCUUAGAUCACGUCUCCGGCUUGGAACUCCCGCUGGUUUAGAAUCUCACUGCUGGGAAGCAUCACCUGUUCCUGGACCCGAAAGGCAGUGUGGUCAAGUGGUUACAGACUCAAGCCAGAGCUUCCUCCACGUUCCUGAGGGUGCACUGGUUUUCCUUCCUGUCUGGCCACACAAGCCUCUGGAGAGUGCCCAUCCAUCUUACAGGCUCACUUUGUAUUCUGUAAACUUUCAGUGUGAAAAUAAACGCAUUGCCUCCCUGUCAGAGCUCUACCGUGCAUGGGUAUUUCUUAAGAGCCAGGGCGGAUGAUACAGACAGACCAAGUAUUUCCAAGGAAACCAAAGGGGCAUAAUUGCUUCUUUCCAGGUAAUGUGGAUGCACCGGAUGGGGUCGGCUGCAUCACAGUGGAUCAUUUUCUUGUUAGCGUCUGGCCAGAGUGAUGUGAGGACCACGGGCUUCCUGAGUGAUGCUGCAUAGGCUCAUCUGCAAGUGACAAAGACCAAAAUGAAAAUAGAGCGUGGAGACACUAGCUGGAUGCUCUGCGUCCCCUUCAAAGACCCACGGUGGAUUUGUCUCCUGAGACAUACUAUUGCUGGGACUUUUUUUCUUUUCAUUGUCUUCUUAUCUUUUCAGAUGUCUUUUUUUUUUUUGUAUUUCAUUUUUACUCUGAGACAAAAGAUUUUUCUCUUUUUUUCCUCUCAGCGAUUAAAAUCUUUCCAUCAACCAGAUAUUCCUAAGGGAGAUACAUGAUGCAAGAUUUGGCAGGGUGGGGGUGUAAGUGUGCACUGAUGGAGAGAGCAGUCACGGAGUACAGACUGUCUGAUGACCUCAAAAUCAAGCCCCUGAUUAAUCACGAUCUGCCUAGACAAAGAAAUGGGAUCACAGACCCAUGAUGACAAUGACUUCCAUUAAUUGCAACGACCCUGUUUUAGCCUCAGGACCUUGCACUUGCUGUGUUUUCCACCAGGAAUGUGCUGCAGCCUGCGCUUGGUGUCUGUCUCACCAUUCCUUUCUCUACUUAAAUGUCUCCUAUUCUAGAAGACCAACCCUGAUUGUUCAAAAAGAACUUGCCUCUUUUAUUCUCAAUUCACCUUGUUUUAUCUGCCUCAUAGAAUUAGAGCUCUCUGAAAUUCCUAUUUGUGAAUGACUUUAUGGUCUAUUUCUCAUCUGUACAAAAUAAACUCCAGAGAGCAAGAACUUUGUCUUGUUCAAUGCUGUCUCAUCAGUGCCCAGAACAGUGCCCGACACAGGCACUAUCCUAAGUGCUUUAUGAUGAUGUGUCAAUGAUUCUUAAAUGACAGCCUUUCAUUGAAAUGGUUUCUGGGAGGUUAAUUUAUUUGUUCAAAAUCCCACCACUGUUAGUUAGUAGGAGAUAAGCCAUUCAAAUGGAGGCUUGUUGAGAUUCAAAGCCCAGGCUUUAAACAACCCUGCUAAACUGCCUCCCCUAGCAUAGAGCAUUCAUCUUGGAAGUGGUUUGGGCCAUUGUGUUGCCAGGCUUCACUAGAAUGUGAGCCCUGGAGAGCCAGAGACGGAGUCUGUUGCAUCCACAGCACCCAGCACUGUUUGCCACGUGGUAGACAUUCAAUGAACAGUAAAUGCUCAAACAGUAUUUGUAGAUAGAUGGACAGAUGGGUGAGUGGGUGGAUGGUUGAAUGGAUGGAUGGGUGGAUGAAUGAAUGAAUAGAAAAGAGGGAGAAAAGAAGAUAGAAAGGGAGGACAGAAGGAAGGGUAGGUAGAGGGAUAGCUGAAUUGUUGGAUGGAUGCAUGGAUUCGUGAAUAUAUGGAUGAGUAGGUGGGUGUAUGGAUAGGUGGGUAGAUGAAUAGGGAAACAGAAUCCCAGAGAGACUGGUGACUCACUUAAUAUCACACAGCAAGUCAGCAGAGGGAGGAGAAAUCCAAACUCAGGGCCCCUAUCCUAGUGCUCACUCUCUCACAACACCAAAUAUUUGAGAAUGAAAUUGAAUGUUUUCCUUACAGUCUAGGUAGGUAUGAUAAUGGCGAUAAUUGCUCCAACUGUGUAGCAAAAAACUGGGCUAAAUGCUUUAGUCCAUUAGUUCAUGGGAUCUUCUCUAGAACCCUAGGAAAUAAGUGCUGUAAUAGCCCCUCAUCCUCAAGGACAUUAUUAUCCAUUUAUGUCAAUCACUCCAUGUGAUAAGUGUUAUUUUUAUCCCUACUUCUCAAAAGAGGAAAAUAAAGCUCAGAGAGGUUAAGUAACUUGCCCUUGUCAUCCUGUAAGGAAGAGGUGAGGCUAGGAUAUAACCCUUUGCCACCACUGUACUAAUUUUAACCGCAUAAGAGCUGAUGCUCUGUUUAUCACAUGGCAAAAUACAAGGCGAAUAGAAUUGUAGGCACACACCAUCUAAUCAGCAGAGAAGCUAAAAUUAUCUCCCCAGGCGGCAUUUGGGUAGCAGGAAGCUCACCCUGACACCAGAAACUAGGCAGGAAGGGCCCUAUUAGAUAGACCACAGCCCGGGCAAAAGGUAAACCAAGUGUAUGAUAUCAAGCAAGUUACUUUGCCUCCCUGAACCUCAGUUUCUUCAUCUGUAAAAUGGCUAUCAAAAUGUGAUGGAUGAAGAUUUUUAUCUGCAAGCUGUUCUAGUCCCUCUCAGAAUUCUAUUCCUAUUAGGCUAUUUCUUCUUCCAAAAAUAGUCUUCAUAUUGUUCCUAAAUAAUCACUUUGCAUUCCCAACACCACACUCUCAGACAAUCAGGUCUGCAUCCUGUUUUCUCAAAACUUUCCUCUGUGCCUUGUUUUAGCCAGCAAAUGGAAUGAGUAAAUCUCCACCCACAUGUUCAACGGGUUAAUGGUUUACAGUGCCACUUCUUCCUCAUAAGACACCUGCAUGCAAGAAAUGAUCUAGGAAUUCAAUGUACUUACCAAAGGUAGUAACCCCGUGGGUGCACUUUUAGUGACUGUGGCCCUUCUGGUUGUGAGGAGGAGUUGAAGCUGCAGGAGGUAGCCACCAAAUCAUAGCACAGACGCAGCCACCAAAUUUCUGGGAGGUAGCCUGUGAACGUGAAAUGGGUUCUGGCCUGGCCUUGAACCUGUCAAAUCCCACUGCUUUCUGACAGAGUGACCUUGGCUGGCUUGGAGUCUUCCACAAAAAAAUCAGAUACUUAUCUGUCAGAUGGUGAUAACCACACCUCACUAUCAGGAUGAUUAUGAAAUUGGUGAGAGACUGUGCCUGGGUAGGACGGCACCUGGCAAACAGUAGAUUAUUUACACAAUAGUUUCCUUUUCAGUUGGGUUGCUUGUUUUUUUUUUUUUCUUGUAAAUUUGUUUAAAUUCCUUAUAGAUGCUGGAUAUUAGGCCUUUGCAGAUGCAUAGUUUGCAAACAUUUCCUCCCAUUCUAUAGGUUGUCUGACAUUACAGGGUAUAUACCCAAAGGAAUAUAAAUUGUUCUGUUAUAAAGACACAUGCAGACGUAUGUUAAUUGCAGCACUGUUCACAAGAACAAAGACUAUCCUAGUGCUGACUCUUUCGCAACACCAAAUAUUUGAGAAUGAAAUUGAGUGUUUUCCUUACAGUCUAGGUAGGUAUGAUAACGGUGAUAAUUGCUCUGACUGUGCAGCAAAAACUGGGCUAAAUGCUUUAGCCCAUCAGUUCACGGGAUCCUCUCUCUAACCCUAGGAAAUAAGUGCUCUUGAAUGAGCAUGUAUAUAUAUAUAUAUGGUACAUACACCAUGGAAUACUAUGCAGCUAUAAAAAAGAAUGAGAUCAUGUUCUUUGCAAAAACACGAAUGGAGCUGGAGACCAUUAUCCUUGGCACACUAACAGGAACAAAAAAACAAAUAUCACAAGUUCUCACUUACAGGUAGGAGCUAAAUGAUGAAAGCACACAGACACAUAGAGGGGAACAACACACACUGGGGUUUACCAGAGGGUGGAAGGUGGGAAGAGGGAGAGGAUCAGAAAAAGCUAUUGAGUACUAGGCUUAAGAUCUGGGUGAUGAAAUUCAUCUGUACAACAAACUCUGGUGACACAAGUUUGCAUAAAUAACAAACCUGCACAUGUACCCCCAAACCUCAAAGUUAAAAAUAGCUAACCUAUCUCUGUUUUUCUCUCACUCGCUUUCUCCCCUUUCCCCUCUUUUUCUCCAUCUUCCUUGCUUCUUUACAUUUCCAGUGAACAAGUCUUAUGAGUACCCACUGCAUGCUAGCCCUGUACUAUGCAGAGCCAGAGUGUAUAACAGCAGACAAACAGGCAAGGUCCCUCCAUAGAGAACUGGCAGCCUCAUACAGUGAAGCGUCAAGUGCUUCAUCUUCUCCAAAGGAGAAAUCAGCCCUCCUGCACCCCUGCCUCAGCCACCUUCUUUAUAAAAACCAGUUGGGUUUUCUGCAAGAAUGGAAGCCUCUUGCAACUCAGGAUAGGAUUUUACAGGGGGCUCUCUGUCCCCCAAAGGCUGGGGCAGGUCUGGGCCUGCAGUGAGUGGCCCAUAAAAGAGCAUUGUUUUAGUGAGUACGUGGGGAAGCUCUGGGUGUGGAGAGUCUUCUGAAAUCCUGGGCCAGAGUGCUCCCUCUUCCCUCCUUCAUCCAGUAUUCACCUCCCCCACCCAUUCUUUCUAGGGACUCCUGGCUCCACCACGCUGCUAAAGACAUAUUCCUCCCCCUGUUGCUGCCUGCAACCUUCUCUCCAUCUGCUCCCUCCGCCUGUUCAGGCUGCAGUGUGUAGAUAGUAUGGCAAGGUAGGGUGGGGGAAGGAGGACAGCUUCUAAAUUGGGGUGAGAGGCCUGUAAAGCCUGACCAGCCUGCCAAGACUAGGCAGGGAGAAAAGACAGUCUCCAGAACUGUGCACAAGCUUGUCCCCACCUAGUUCUCUGCCAAUGUCUGUCCCCAAGUAUCUGCUUGUCUCCCUCAUUGCUUGUCCCUCACCACCUCUAUUUGUGGAGAAAAGACACGUUGCUUGAGAAUCAGCAGCAGAGGUGCGCCUUGCAGUCCUGCUCAGAUGAGGAAGGGGGUGCAGGAAGGGGCAAGGGGCUGACCUGAGAGGAAGCCUGCUCCAGUGCCCUGCCGGCAGUGGGACUGUGGGAGAUGGGGCUCAGAUUAGAAAGUAGAGAUGGAUCUUAAUUUCGAGUUUGUGAUUGGGCUUCAGAGGGGUCCAGACCCCCUGGUGUUAGAUGCAGUUUUGUGGCUGCCUGUAGUGUUCUAGAGAGAUUCAGAGCUCUCACCAGAUCCGUAG
rnacentral:lncRNA from 1 species